rnacentral:rRNA from 1 species
CAGCUUAACACAUGCAAGUCGAGCGGAGAGAGGUAGCUUGCUACUGAUCUUAGCGGCGGACGGGUGAGUAAUGCUUAGGAAUCUGCCUAUUAGUGGGGGACAACAUUUCGAAAGGAAUGCUAAUACCGCAUACGUCCUACGGGAGAAAGCAGGGGAUCUUCGGACCUUGCGCUAAUAGAUGAGCCUAAGUCGGAUUAGCUAGUUGGUGGGGUAAAGGCCUACCAAGGCGACGAUCUGUAGCGGGUCUGAGAGGAUGAUCCGCCACACUGGGACUGAGACACGGCCCAGACUCCUACGGGAGGCAGCAGUGGGGAAUAUUGGACAAUGGGCGCAAGCCUGAUCCAGCCAUGCCGCGUGUGUGAAGAAGGCCUUAUGGUUGUAAAGCACUUUAAGCGAGGAGGAGGCUACUUUAGUUAAUACCUAGAGAUAGUGGACGUUACUCGCAGAAUAAGCACCGGCUAACUCUGUGCCAGCAGCCGCGGUAAUACAGAGGGUGCAAGCGUUAAUCGGAUUUACUGGGCGUAAAGCGCGCGUAGGCGGCUAAUUAAGUCAAAUGUGAAAUCCCCGAGCUUAACUUGGGAAUUGCAUUCGAUACUGGUUAGCUAGAGUGUGGGAGAGGAUGGUAGAAUUCCAGGUGUAGCGGUGAAAUGCGUAGAGAUCUGGAGGAAUACCGAUGGCGAAGGCAGCCAUCUGGCCUAACACUGACGCUGAGGUGCGAAAGCAUGGGGAGCAAACAGGAUUAGAUACCCUGGUAGUCCAUGCCGUAAACGAUGUCUACUAGCCGUUGGGGCCUUUGAGGCUUUAGUGGCGCAGCUAACGCGAUAAGUAGACCGCCUGGGGAGUACGGUCGCAAGACUAAAACUCAAAUGAAUUGACGGGGGCCCGCACAAGCGGUGGAGCAUGUGGUUUAAUUCGAUGCAACGCGAAGAACCUUACCUGGCCUUGACAUAGUAAGAACUUUCCAGAGAUGGAUUGGUGCCUUCGGGAACUUACAUACAGUGCUGCAUGGCCU